GACGAACGCUGGCGGCGUGCUUGACACAUGCAAGUCGAACGGAAAGGCCCUGCUUUUGUGGGGUGCUCGAGUGGCGAACGGGUGAGUAACACGUGAGUAACCUGCCCUUUACUUUGGGAUAACUUCAGGAAACUGGGGCUAAUACCGGAUAGGAUCUCCUGCUGCAUGGUGGGGGUUGGAAAGUUUCGGCGGUUGGGGAUGGACUCGCGGCUUAUCAGCUUGUUGGUGGGGUAGUGGCUUACCAAGGCUUUGACGGGUAGCCGGCAUGAGAGGGUGACCGGCGACAAUGGGACUGAGAUACGGCCCAGACUACUACGGGAGGCAGCAGUGGGGAAUAUUGCACAAUGGGCGGAAGCCUGAUGCAGCAACGCCGCGUGCGGGAUGACGGCCUUCGGGUUGUAAACCGCUUUAGACUGUGACGAAGAGUGAGUGACGGUAAUGGGUAAAGAAGCACCGGCUAACUACGUG
rnacentral:rRNA from 1 species